CACUCCAAGGUUUUCAUUCAGGUAGGUUCUUUAGUUGACAAAUUCCAGCAAGUCAACAUUUCAGUCCCUCUAGGGAACUUUCAUGAGGACAUGAUCGUCCCUAGAGGGACUGAAACGUUGAUUUGCUGAAAAUCGUCAAAUAAAGAACCUACCUGAAUGAACACCUUGGAGUG
rnacentral:miRNA from 1 species